GCAGUGGUGGUUCAGUGGUAGAAUUCUUGCCUCCCAUGAAGGAGAUCUGGGUUCGAUUCUCAGCCAAUGUC
rnacentral:tRNA from 1 species